GUCGUGCGACAGACCAGGAAUUGAUUACUUCGGUUUGAUUUUCCUGACGAUGAGCGGCGAACGGGUGCGUAACACGUGAGAAAUCUGCCCUUAAGUUCGGGAUAGCCCUACGAAAGUAGAAUUAAUACCGGAUGUGGCCCAGGGAGGGCAUCUUCCCCUGGCUAAAGCUCGGUCACAGAGCGCUUUUGGAUGAUCUCGCGGUCUAUCAGCUUGUUGGUGAGGUAACGGCUCACCAAGGCUCUGACGGAUAGCUGGUCUGAGAGGAUGAUCAGUCACACUGGAACUGAGACACGGUCCAGACACCUACGGGUGGCAGCAGUCGAGAAUCAUUCACAAUGGGCGAAAGCCUGAUGGUGCGACGCCGCGUGGGGGAUGAAGGGCUUCGGUUCGUAAACCCCUGUCAUCUGCGAGUAAGGCUCCCAAUAAAAGCUUGGGAGAUUGAUAUUAGCAGAAGAGGAAGGGACGGCUAACUCAGUGCCAGCAGCCGCGGUAAUACUGAGGUCCCAAGCGUUGUUCGGAUUUACUGGGCGUAAAGGGUGCGUAGGCGGCUAUAAAAGUUUGGUGUGAAAUCUCCGGGCUCAACCCGGAAACUGCAUUGAAAACUAGAUAGCUAGAGGAUCGGAGAGGAGAUUGGAAUUCUCAGUGUAGCAGUGAAAUGCGUAGAUAUUGAGAGGAACACCAGUUGCGAAGG
rnacentral:rRNA from 1 species